rnacentral:lncRNA from 1 species
GUGCCCGCCCGAGAAGGCGGUGCUGGGAGCCGCUCAGAGCUCAGAGAAGCGGCGCGCGGCCAGGAGCCCCCGCUCCGCCACUGCCGUGCCUGCCUCCCGCAGCUGUCUGCCAUGCGCUCGCCGGGGCAGGGGCGCCCGGAGAGCGGCGAGAGCUGGGCCUGAGCCCGGGAACGCGCCUGAUCGGGGUGGCGGAGCCGCGGUCCCCACAGCCGCCCCACCCGCGCCGCUGCCUCGUUGGGGCCCGGGCCCCCUUCCCGGUCCUUACUCCCCUGCUGGUGCCUCCCUCCCUGGCGCGGUUCCCACCUGCGAUCGGCGCCCUCUUCGCAGUCACGAACUCGCCAGCAGCUAGCAGCACUGACUAGUAGGAGGGCCCGCCGGAGGAGAGCCGCGCGGCCCACAGAAGCGGAACGCGCGUCGAGAGCGCCCUGUCCGCUCGCCCCAGACAGAUGCCCGGUUAUUCAUUACCCCGAGGCCUAGAGGAAAGAAUGGCUGCCGUCCUCCUGUCCACAGCCCGCCGGACCCUCCGUCGCGGCUGCCGGCUCCCCGGAGCCGCAGCCACCGAGCCUGGCU